GCGAAAGUGGCGGAAUUGGUAGACGCCCUGGUUUUAGGUACCAGUGCCGCAAGGCGUAGGGGUUCGAGUCCCCUCUUUCGCACCA
rnacentral:tRNA from 38 species